rnacentral:rRNA from 1 species
GACGAACGCUGGCGGCGUGCUUAACACAUGCAAGUCGAGCGGUAAGGCCCUUUCGGGGGUACACGAGCGGCGAACGGGUGAGUAACACGUGGGUGACCUGCCCUCAGCUCUGGGAUAAGCCUGGGAAACCGGGUCUAAUACCGGAUAUGACUCCAUGACGCAUGUUGUGGGGUGAAAGCCUUGUGCGGCUGAGGAUGGGCCCGCGGCCUAUCAGCUUGUUGGUGGGGUGAUGGCCUACCAAGGCGACGACGGGUAGCCGGCCUGAGAGGGCGACCGGCCACACUGGGACUGAGACACGGCCCAGACUCCUACGGGAGGCAGCAGUGGGGAAUCUUGCGCAAUGGGCGAAAGCCUGACGCAGCGACGCCGCGUGGGGAUGAAGGUCUUCGGAUUGUAAACCCCUUUCGGGAGGGAAGAUGGAACGAGCAAUCGUUCGGACGGUACCUCCAGAAGCAGCCACGGCUAACUUCGUGCCAGCAGCCGCAGUAAU